UAAUACUCCAUAGAUUAGAGACACUGGAAUGUUCUUUAGUCGAAAGUUCUGGCGCCUUAGGAUGGAUCUGCGGCCGAUUAGGUUGUUGUUGGGGUAACGGCCCAACAAGCCUGUAAUCGAUACGGGUUGUGGGAGCAAGAGCCCGGAGAUGGAAUCUGAGACACGAUUCCAGGCCCUACGGGGCGCAGCAGGCGCGAAAACUUUACAAUGCAGGAAACUGUGAUAAGGGAACUCCGAGUGCCCGUAUACGCGGGCUGUCCAGGUGUUUAAAAAUCAUCUGAAGAAAGGGCCGGGCAAGACCGGUGCCAGCCGCCGCGGUAAUACCGGCGGCUCGAGUGGUGGCCACUAUUAUUGGGCUUAAAGCGUCCGUAGCUGGACCGAUAAGUCUCUUGGGAAAUCCGCCGGCUCAACCGGCGGGCGUCUAAGGGAUACUGUUAGUCUAGGGACCGGGAGAGGUGAGAGGUACUCCGGGGGUAGGAGUGAAAUCCUGUAAUCCCCGGGGGACCAGCGAUGGCGAAGGCAUCUCACCAGAACGGCUCCGACAGUGAGGGACGAAAGCUGGGGGAGCGAACCGGAUUAGAUACCCGGGUAGUCCCAGCCGUAAACUAUGCGCGUUAGGUGU
rnacentral:rRNA from 1 species